GGGCGGGAGUGGGCUAAUACAAGACCCUUAAGGGGGAAUAUGCCCAGCAGCGUGGUACGACUGUGUUUUAGCUCCCGCCCGACCCUCG
rnacentral:ncRNA from 1 species